rnacentral:rRNA from 1 species
UGUUACUGCGAAGGGGGGACGGAGAAGGCUAUGUUGGCCGGGCGACGGUUGUCCCGGUUUAAGCGUGUAGGCUGGUUUUCCAGGCAAAUCCGGAAAACCAAGGCUGAGGCGUGAUGACGAGGCACUACGGUGCUGAAGCAACAAAUGCCCUGCUUCCAGGAAAAGCCUCUAAGCAUCAGGUAACAUCAAAUCGUACCCCAAACCGACACAGGUGGUCAGGUAGAGAAUACCAAGGCGCUUGAGAGAACUCGGGUGAAGGAACUAGGCAAAAUGGUGCCGUAACUUCGGGAGAAGGCACGCUGAUAUGUAGGUGAAGUCCCUCGCGGAUGGAGCUGAAAUCAGUCGAAGAUACCAGCUGGCUGCAACUGUUUAUUAAAAACACAGCACUGUGCAAACACGAAAGUGGACGUAUACGGUGUGACGCCUGCCCGGUGCCGGAAGGUUAAUUGAUGGGGUUAGCGGUAACGCGAAGCUCUUGAUCGAAGCCCCGGUAAACGGCGGCCGUAACUAUAACGGUCCUAAGGUAGCGAAAUUCCUUGUCGGGUAAGUUCCGACCUGCACGAAUGGCGUAAUGAUGGCCAGGCUGUCUCCACCCGAGACUCAGUGAAAUUGAACUCGCUGUGAAGAUGCAGUGUACCCGCGGCAAGACGGAAAGACCCCGUGAACCUUUACUAUAGCUUGACACUGAACAUUGAGCCUUGAUGUGUAGGAUAGGUGGGAGGCUUUGAAGUGUGGACGCCAGUCUGCAUGGAGCCGACCUUGAAAUACCACCCUUUAAUGUUUGAUGUUCUAACGUUGGCCCGUAAUCCGGGUUGCGGACAGUGUCUGGUGGGUAGUUUGACUGGGGCGGUCUCCUCCUAAAGAGUAACGGAGGAGCACGAAGGUUGGCUAAUCCUGGUCGGACAUCAGGAGGUUAGUGCAAUGGCAUAAGCCAGCUUGACUGCGAGCGUGACGGCGCGAGCAGGUGCGAAAGCAGGUCAUAGUGAUCCGGUGGUUCUGAAUGGAAGGGCCAUCGCUCAACGGAUAAAAGGUACUCCGGGGAUAACAGGCUGAUACCGCCCAAGAGUUCAUAUCGACGGCGGUGUUUGGCACCUCGAUGUCGGCUCAUCACAUCCUGGGGCUGAAGUAGGUCCCAAGGGUAUGGCUGUUCGCCAUUUAAAGUGGUACGCGAGCUGGGUUUAGAACGUCGUGAGACAGUUCGGUCCCUAUCUGCCGUGGGCGCUGGAGAACUGAGGGGGGCUGCUCCUAGUACGAGAGGACCGGAGUGGACGCAUCACUGGUGUUCGGGUUGUCAUGCCAAUGGCACUGCCCGGUAGCUAAAUGCGGAAGAGAUAAGUGCUGAAAGCAUCUAAGCACGAAACUUGCCCCGAGAUGAGUUCUCCCUGAGACUUAGAGUCUCCUGAAGGAACGUUGAAGACGACGACGUUGAUAGGCCGGGUGUGUAAGCGCAGCGAUGCGUUGAGCUAACCGGUACUAAUGAACCGUGAGGCUUAACCUUACAACGCCGAAG